rnacentral:rRNA from 1 species
GACGAACGCUGGCGGUGUGCUUAACACAUGCAAGUCGAACGGUAAGGCCCUUUCGGGGGUACACGAGUGGCGAACGGGUGCGUAACACGUGAGUAACCUGCCCUCAUCUCUGGGAUAACAGUCGGAAACGGUUGCUAAUACUGGAUAUGAGCUUGCAUGGCAUCUUGUGGGUUGGAAAGAUUUUUUUUGGUUGGGGAUGGACUCGCGGCCUAUCAGCUUGUUGGUGAGGUAGUGGCUCACCAAGGCUUCGACGGGUAGCCGGCCUGAGAGGGCGACCGGCCACAUUGGGACUGAGAUACGGCCCAAACUCCUACGGGAGGCAGCAGUGGGGAAUAUUGCACAAUGGACGGAAGUCUGAUGCAGCAACGCCGCGUGCGGGAUGACGGCCUUCGGGUUGUAAACCGCUUUCAAUUGUGACGAAGCUUUUUUGUGACGGUAGCAGUAGAAGAAGCACCGGCUAACUACGUG